AAUUUCUCCAGAUUCAAAGUCUGCCAAUGUGGAAGAACCAACGAAAAUUCCAACAAUAGACUACUUGAAAUUGAAGUUUCGAGUUUGUUUACUAAGAUGUAAAAGGAUGAUUUUGUAUUUCAACUUUAUAUAGUUUUAGUUUUUAAUUACUUUUGAGUUUUGACAACCUAAUUGAAUUAGACUGUUGUUCGAUGUAUUAUUACAUAAUGUACUUUUUUGCUGCCAUCAAUAUUAGGGGUACUUUCAUAUAGGUAAAAUAUAAUAAUUUACAGUUCAAUUAUCUCAAGUUCUCUCAAUUCAACGUCAUCUUAUAUUUUUAGUUUUUUAAAAAUUUUCUUAAAUUUUAUAUUAAUCAUAGUAUUUAUUAAGUUCAAAUUUUCUUAACUCUAGAUAUAGCUAUAUAUAUAUAUAUAGUCAUACCUAGAGUUAAUAUAUAUAUAUAGACACACACACAUCAGUUCGCUCAAUUUUUUUUUUUAAUAUUGUCAUAAGAGAUUUAUGCUCUUUUAUUAACUAUUUACAUCUUGUUUGCUCACAUUUUGUUAAAACAUUUUUUUCAUACAAUUUAUGAUCUUUUUGAGUGUGUUCGAGUUGAUAGAACACACUAGGUACAAAGUACGUAGUGUAGCAAAAUUUGGAGCUCUGAAUAAAAACAUAGUGUUUAAGGUCAAAGGUCAAGUCUGCUCAAGCUCUCUAGAUCUAUCAGCACUGACUAUAGCGACUCUAGCUCUCUCAAUCCUAACCCAACUUGCUCGGACUCUCUCAUAUUUGGCUCCAUCUGCUUUAACUCUCUAAUCUCUAACUCUCUGGGCUCUAGCUAUGGCGAUGAUGAUAGCUGUAAAGGUUGGGACGACACUAAUGUAGGUGAUGAGUGAGGUAAAUGUACAAAGUUCAUCUCCUGAACAUGGAGUACUGGGGAAGUGGGUUCAUAAGCAUUCCAAAAGAAGCACAAGAAGCCCAACUAUGACGCAAAUCGCCCCCAAAAUGCGGAAUAUGAAAAAAUAUUAGUUUGUUCACAAAAUACAAAAAAUGCCUAAUCAAUAUCAAUGAUUUAUUUGCCUCACCACAUGUAUAUGUCUCUCAAUGCUAACAAACUCGAUCAUCACCAUCACAACUACCAAUGAUAUCGGGUUAACUACAACGACGAAUAUGAGGUCUCUCAUCGUAGUGAGUGUGAUCGGGAUGAAUGAAGCAAGACCCGAAAUGACGAUGUUUUAAACCAAAAAAAUAUCAAAUUAGUAAUUACUUAAAAUGAAUCAGUAAUGCAAAAAAAAAUACAUUAUGAAUUUGUUGAUGAAACUCACCGCAUAUAUGUAGCUGACUAAUAUGAUGUUUGGUCCGAUGAACCAUGCAGAUGGAGAUCUCACCUCCAAUCACACAACAACUAGCAUAGUCAUAACUGUGCCUGUCGCAGAAAUAGAAACUCAGACAUAUGACUGGUCCUAUAUGCUCUGUCACCUUCCACUAUGGAAGAUACAAGAAAAAUCAAACACACAAUUAUAAUGUUAGAUAGAACAAUCAAAUAUAAAAUCUUUCAAAACAAAAUUAACGGCACUCAUAUAGAUGUUCAAAUAAAAGAAAAAACUUACAAUCUGAAGAUUAUACUAGACUGAUGCAGCUACUGCAACUAAAACUAGAAGAGGACCAUGAAAUCAGUCAUCUUGAAGCUCACACACAGUCAUCCCAAGGCGAGUAACAGUAGAAAAGUACAUGAUAAUGAUGGAGGAGGCAUGAUAAAACCCCAUGAUGCGCCCACCAUCAGUAUCAAGUAUAAAAUCUUGGCACGAAAGCUCCGAGCGGUCCAAUGCACAUACUCCAUCCUUAAACCAAAACAAUAAAAAUUAUGUAUAUAAAUGUUUAAAUGAAAAAUAAUCAUUUUGUUUAAUGAAAUUUAAUCACAUUGACAAUUAUGCUUUAUUUGUCAAAGUGCGUGUUUAAGCAAAAAUGUUAACAAAUUUAAGAUGUUAUAUAUAGAUAUGGGUUAGAAACAUACUCAAAAAAACAUGUUGCUAUAAAAGUCAGUGCGGACCACAAGCAACCAUCGAAGAAAAGAAACUGGUUUAUGUGUAUCGAAGACCCGUAAAAAUACAUAACUGACUCACUAGUGUUCUGUUAAAAAAUUAAUUAUUAGAGGUAAAUAUAUAUAAUAUAACAUAUUGACAUAGUCGUUCAUUCAAUGUUAUGUAUUGAAAUUAUCUAGUCACUUACUCAAGAAUAGUGAGAUGAAGAACCCGUAAGAAUCUUGUUCUAGAUACAAAUACGAAAUUAUGUGAAUUAAAACAAAUUAGAACCUAC
rnacentral:lncRNA from 1 species